UACAGAGGGUGCGAGCGUUGUCCGGAAUCACUGGGCGUAAAGGGCGCGUAGGUGGCAAGAUAAGCGUGUGGUGAAAGCCCGGGGCUCAACCCCGGGUCUGCCGUGCGAACUGUCUUGCUCGAGCGUAGUAGAGGCAGGUGGAAUUUCGGGUGUAGCGGUGGAAUGCGUAGAGAUCCGAAAGAACACCGGUGGCGAAGGCGGCCUGCUGGGCUACUGCUGACACUGAGGCGCGACAGCGUGGGGAGCAAAC
rnacentral:rRNA from 1 species